ACAUGCAGUCGAACGGGUGUAGCAGUACACUAGUGGCGCACGGGUGCGUAACGCGUAACCAACCUGCCCUUGACUGGGGGAUAGCCCGCCGAAAGGCGGAUUAAUACCGCAUAAACUAGCAACUCGGCAUCGAGUAACUAGUAAAGAUUUAUUGGUCAAGGAUGGGGUUGCGUGACAUUAGCUAGUUGGCGGGGUAAGGGCCCACCAAGGCGACGAUGUCUAGGGGAGCUGAGAGGCUGAUCCCCCACACUGGCACUGAGAUACGGGCCAGACUCCUACGGGAGGCAGCAGUAGGGAAUAUUGGGCAAUGGGCGAGAGCCUGACCCAGCCAUGCCGCGUGCCGGAUGAAGGCCUUCUGGGUUGUAAACGGCUUUUCUCAGGGAAGAAAACGACCAUGCGUGGUACACUGACGGUACCUGAGGAAUAAGCACCGGCUAACUCCGUGCCAGCAGCCGCGGUAAUACGGAGGGUGCAAGCGUUGUCCGGAUUUAUUGGGUUUAAAGGGUGCGUAGGUGGUUUGAUAAGUCCGGGGUGAAAGCCCACAGCUCAACUGUGGAACUGCCCUGGAUACUGUCAGACUUGAGGGUAGACGAGGUUGGCGGAAUAGAAGGUGUAGCGGUGAAAUGCAUAGAUACCUUCUAGAACCCCGAUUGCGUAGGCAGCUGACUAGGCUACACCUGACACUGAGGCACGAAAGCGUGGGGAGCGAACAGGAUUAGAUACCCUGGUAGUCCACGCCGUAAACGAUGGAUACUCGCUGGUGGCGAUAGACAGUCACUGGCUUAGCGAAAGCGGUAAGUAUCCCACCUGGGGAGUACGCUCGC
rnacentral:rRNA from 1 species